rnacentral:rRNA from 1 species
AUUGAACGCUAGCGGGAUGCCUUACACAUGCAAGUCGAACGGAGUGGCGAACGGGUGAGUAAUGUAUCGGAACGUGCCCAGUAGCGGGGGAUAACUACGCGAAAGCGUAGCUAAUACCGCAUACCACUGGAGCGGCCGAUAUCGGAUUGGCUAGGGUGUGGGGUAACGGCUCACCAAGGCGACGAGCCGGAGCGGGUUUGGGAGGACGACCAGCCACACUGGGUUGGGGAAACGGCCCAGACUCCUACGUGGGGCAGCAGUGGGGAAUUGUGGACAAUGGGGGAAACCCGGAUCCAGCCAGCCCGCGUGUGCGAUGAAGGCCUUCGGGUUGUAAGGCACUUUUGGCAGGAAAGCGGUACCUGCAGAAUAAGCACCGGCUAACUACGUGCCAGCAGCCGCGGUAAUUC